rnacentral:rRNA from 1 species
UACGUAGGGUGCGAGCGUUGUCCGGAAUUAUUGGGCGUAAAGAGCUUGUAGGCGGUUUGUCGCGUCUGCCGUGAAAAUUCGAGGCUCAACCUCGAACUUGCGGUGGGUACGGGCAGACUAGAGUGUGGUAGGGGAGACUGGAAUUCCUGGUGUAGCGGUGAAAUGCGCAGAUAUCAGGAGGAACACCGGUGGCGAAGGCGGGUCUCUGGGCCGAAACUGACGCUGAGGAGCGAAAGCGUGGGGAGCAAACAGG